AAAUGGAGUGGGGCAUAUCAAGAGGGGGCUGGACUAACCCUAGGGGAGGAGGUGGAACAGGUCAAUGCCUUCCUCUCUCGGAUAGCAGUGACCACAAAACACAUGUCAAAAGCAGGACGUACAGACAUGCUGACGCUGAUGGCCAUGCGCUGGAAUCAGCAAAAAGUCAGCAACUUGGCCACCUCACUGUCCCGCAGAUAUCUGAAGACCACAAAAGCUCUG